UGGAUACUGUUCAUACUCUGUUACUAUUCAUCGAACUCGGCUUCCACCGCUUCACCGACUAAUACUUUAUCUCAAGAAGGUUACUUCCAAUCGCCCCUUUUCCAAUUACACAUACGAUAUCGAUCCACCGCAUCACCAUUCAUCGCCUCAUCUACUCCAUUUCUCGAUUCCUCGAUGGAAUUCCAAAAACCAGAUGUAGCGACAUGCCACCCUCCAUUUUAUUCUACUCAUUAUCUAUUUAAUUACGGCUUCGAUUUUCCAAUAAAUCCUUCUAUAUUCGAUUAGGGCUUCGAUUUCCAACAAACUACCGCUCAAAAGCUAGAACAUCCGUCGGAUUAUCUGCAACAUGAAGUCGAUUUCUGGCCGGCGAUUAGGCUUUCCAAUUCAGUUCCGGCCGGUUCUCACGGAUAUCCCCUCUAUCAAUAAUCAUCAUUACAGGAACGCUUUAUGUCUACUUUCUGUACAGAUAUGCCCACCUAGCAAAGGUCUUUAGAAACCCUUGGAAAAUUGCACGAGAGAUCAACCAGGAGAACGGAGAUGGGGAAAGGUCUACCUCUCUAUCUAGAUAUCGCCAAAAACCAAAGGCGUUUGUAAAAAGGGUGAAGGGAGAUCAAAGCGGAGAAAAGCAUUCAAAUAGGUAAAAGUGUAAAUGAUGUCUUGGACUUACUAGCAGAUAUAAAACACUAAUGGAACGUGUUUUAAACUGAAGUAUAAUUGCAACUAAUAACAUGAGAAUUUGCAAACAUGGGUCUAAAAAAGAUAAUUUCUUUUACCACAUCUCUCUUAGCCAGAUAUUCAAGCUAUUAAACUUACUCAUGUUUCCAAUGAUGUUGGUGUUACUGGGAGACCGAAUGUUGACUGGUUUGAGCAUGAUUCUGGACAUCCGGAAGGUUCUGCGAUUGGUUUUAAGGGAGAGGAUGAACCCAAUUUCAUUGGGUCAUUCUAUUCCAAGACCAAGGCUAUGGUUGAGCUUUUGAAAGUAUACGACAACGUAUGCACACCCUGAGCUCUUUACCAGGAAGUGGGGAACGUUCGGUAAUGUAGCUUACUAUUAUAGUAGUUGUGGCUGAGGUCGUGUUUGUUCAUCUUUCACUAAUGGACCUAUGGUAUUUCGAUUCUGAAGUUCACAUUUGCAUUAUCAGCCAAAAUAAAUUAGAUUUUAUCUUUGGAAUUUGCAUUUGUGUUUUAAAAAGCACGCCUUAGUCGCUCAGAGGCACUAGGUGGCAGAAGGCGACAGGAGAAACACCUCCAGCCUCCAAGGCGACGUCGUGUAUAGGAGGCGUCGAUCUGGGAGGCAGCAAUUCCUUUUGGGAUUCAUAUACUAAUGACCUUUGGGCUUUGAGUUUUGGGCAAUUUUUACACUUCAGGAGCAUCAACGUCGACUGUCCAUCCAAUUAUAGCAAUAAAACAUGUGAUUUUUUUUCCGACCCAUGCGAAGCAUGGGUCCCUACACUAGUUAUAACCAAAUCAUCAUUUGUAUUGCAUAAUUAUUAUUAUGACAUAGUAAAAUAACAUAUUAUCAA